rnacentral:rRNA from 1 species
CCUUGGUGCUCAACGUUAACUAGGAACCACGCACAUCCAUCCCGAACUGUGCUGUGAAAUUGGUUAAGAGUUUAUGGAACUUAACGAAGACUCGUUUGGAAGCAUAAACUUAGUGCCAGGG